GUAUGACCCAGCAGAUGUGGGGUACCUACUGAGGGAUUAGUGUACUGAGCAGAAAAUGAUGACUUGUGAACAAAUGAAGCGGAUGCUAGAGCAGAACGACCUCCCCCAUUGCUUGGGAUCAAAAAGCUAUGCCAGAUUUAAUCAUGAUGCGGCAACUACUUUUGGCACGGCCCCUACUCGAGCUGAGUCGUUCGUGAAGAUGCACACUAGGAAGGACGGCACUCACUCGAACGAACGUACACGGGUCCUAUGUG